rnacentral:rRNA from 1 species
UACGUAGGGAGCAAGCGUUGUCCGGAAUCAUUGGGCGUAAAGCGCGCGUAGGCGGCUCGAUCAGUCUGUUGUGAAAGUCAAAGGCUCAACCUUUGAAUGCCGAUGGAUACUGUCGAGCUAGAGUCCGGAAGAGGCGAGUGGAAUUCCUGGUGUAGCGGUGGAAUGCGCAGAUAUCAGGAGGAACACCAGUGGCGAAGGCGGUUGCCUGGGGCUUUGCUGACGCUGAGGCGCGAAAGCGUGGGGAGCGAUCCGG